AUUGAACGCUGGCGGCACGCCUACACAUGCAAGUCGAGCGGCAGCGCGAUAUGUAGCAAUACAUAUUGACGGCGAGCGGCGGACGGGUGAGGAACACGUAGGAACCUACCCUCGAGUGGGGGAUAACCAAGGGAAACUUUGGCUAAUACCGCAUGAUUUCGAGAGAGCAAAGCUGCCGCAAGGUGGCGCUCGAGGAGGGGCCUGCGUCCGAUUAGCUAGUUGGUGAGGUAAGAGCUCACCAAGGCGAUGAUCGGUAACUGGUCUGAGAGGACGACCAGUCACACUGGGACUGAGACACGGCCCAGACUCCUACGGGAGGCAGCAGUGGGGAAUAUUGGACAAUGGGGGCAACCCUGAUCCAGCGAUGCCGCGUGAGUGAAGAAGGCCUUCGGGUCGUAAAGCUCUUUAGGUUGGGAAGAAGAGUGAUGGAGGAAAUGCUAUCACUUUGACGGUACCACUAGAGAAAGCACCGGCAAACUUCGUGCCAGCAGCCGCCGUAAGAC
rnacentral:rRNA from 1 species